AGGACGAACGCUGGCGGCGUGCUAACACAUGCAAGUCGAACGGAGUAAAGCGCCGGUCUGAUCCAGCUGCUGGAGGAUUCCUGCUUACUUAGUGGCGGACGGGUGAGUAACGCGUGAGUAACCUGCCCUCGAGUGGGGAAUAACGUUCUGAAAAGAACGCUAAUACCGCAUAACAUACAGGAGCCGCAUGACUCUUGUAUCAAAGAUUUAUCGCUCGAGGAUGGACUCGCGUCCGACUAGCUGGUUGGUGAGGUAACGGCCCACCAAGGCGACGAUCGGUAGCCGGACUGAGAGGUUGAACGGCCACAUUGGGACUGAGACACGGCCCAGACUCCUACGGGAGGCAGCAGUGGGGGAUAUUGCGCAAUAGGGGGGAAACCCUGACGCAGCAACGCCGCGUGGAGGAUGACGGUUUUCGGAUUGUAAACUCCUUUUAUGGGGGACGAACCAAGACGGUACCCCAUGAAUAAGCUCCGGCUAACUACGUGCCAGCCGCUGC
rnacentral:rRNA from 1 species